UAGGGAAUCUUCCGCAAUGGGCGAAAGCCUGACGGAGCAACGCCGCGUGAGUGAUGAAGGUCUUCGGAUCGUAAAACUCUGUUAUUAGGGAAGAACAUAUGUGUAAGUAACUGUGCACAUCUUGACGGUACCUAAUCAGAAAGCCACGGCUAACUACGUGCCAGCAGCCGCGGUAAUACGUAGGUGGCAAGCGUUAUCCGGAAUUAUUGGGCGUAAAGCGCGCGUAGGCGGUUUUUUAAGUCUGAUGUGAAAGCCCACGGCUCAACCGUAGAGGGUCAUUGGAAACUGGAAAACUUGAGUGCAGAAGAGGAAAGUGGAAUUCCAUGUGUAGCGGUGAAAUGCGCAGAGAUAUGGAGGAACACCAGUGGCGAAGGCGACUUUCUGGUCUGUAACUGACGCUGAUGUGCGAAAGCGUGGGGAUCAAACAGGAUUAGAUACCCUGGUAGUCCACGCCGUAAACGAUGAGUGCUAAGUGUUAGGGGGUUUCCGCCCCUUAGUGCUGCAGCUAACGCAUUAAGCACUCCGCCUGGGGAGUACGACCGCAAGGUUG
rnacentral:rRNA from 1 species